UUCCAGACUCCUACGGGAGGCAGCAGUGAGGAAUAUUGGUCAAUGGGCGGGAGCCUGAACCAGCCAAGUCGCGUGAGGGACGACGGUCCUAUGGAUUGUAAACCUCUUUUGUCGGGGAACAAAGGCGCCCACGGGUGGGCGGAUGAGUGUACCCGAAGAAAAAGCAUCGGCUAACUCCGUGCCAGCAGCCGCGGUAAUACGGAGGGUGCGAGCGUUAAUCGGAAUUACUGGGCGUAAAGCGCUCGUAGGCGGUAUGUCAAGUCAAGGGUGAAAUCCCCGCGCUCAACGUGGGAACUGCCUUUGAAACUGGCAAACUGGAGUGUGUGAGAGGAUAGUGGAAUUCCAGGUGUAGGAGUGAAAUCCGUAGAUAUCUGGAGGAACAUCAGUGGCGAAGGCGACUAUCUGGCACAUAACUGACGCUGAGGAGCGAAAGCGUGGGUAGCAAACAGGAUUAGAUACCCGAGUA
rnacentral:rRNA from 1 species